rnacentral:rRNA from 1 species
UGGGGAAUCUUGGACAAUGUGCGAAAGCAUGAUCCAGCAAUAUUCUUAGUGUGACUGAGACGGCAUAGAAUUGUAAAGCACUUUUGUAAACAACAAUAAUGAUUGUCGUUUAAGUAAUUUAGUCCCGGCUAAUUUCGUGCCAGCAGCCGCGGUAAAACGGAGGGGGCGAGCGUUAUUCAUCUUUAUUGGGCGUAAAGGGUAUGUAGGUGAUAGAAAACUUUUAACAGAAAUAACAGAUUAAAAAUUUGUUGUACGUUUUAUAGUAGUACUAUUUGAAAAACUUGGGGUUAGCAGAAUUACUAAUGUAAAUGUAAAAACUCGCAAUAUUAGUAGGAAUACCAGGGGCGCAGGCGGCUUUCUUAAUUUUUUGACACUGAUGUACUAAAGCAUGGGAAUCAAA